rnacentral:RNase_P_RNA from 1 species
AGAAAGUUCUUUGUGAUCAGUCCGAUGAACAUCGGACAGGAAAGUCCGAACACCAUUACGCUCCCGUAUGGGAGGGGUAACUGCUAACAGCAGCCGAGUCCCGAUUUAUUCGGGAUGCAGGACAAGUGCAACAGAAAAUAAACCCACCCUGAGUUUAUCGAAGGGUAAGGGGUGAAACGGUGGGGUCCUUAAUUGGACUAGAAAUGCUUUCGGCAUUUUAAGUAAGAGCCCACCAGCGUUCAUGGCAACAUGUACGGCUAGGCAAACUCUACCCGGUGCAAUACCAAGUAGGGCCCGAUGAACAUCGGGCCGGGUUGGUAGCUAGAGCUCGUCUCGCGAGAGAUAGCCCAGAUAGAUGAUCACUUCUUCCGUCUAACGGCGGAAUCAGACAGAAUUCGGCUUAUGCGAACUUUCUAAGU